ACGGACGUUUGGCCGGGCUCGGUCGGAGGGCGGGUGCGGGUCCCCGCGUGUCACGCUCCAACACGAGAGGACAAGGAGGGCAGGAGUGAUCACUGACUCGGUGCCUUGGACGGCGGAGCUCCUGUGUUGUUCCUUACGCGUGACGUUUUUUCAUCUCAAGGUGAUCCCAUAAAGUGGAUACUGUUACUAGCCCUAUUUUACAAUCUUCCCAAGAAGGGGUGAGGCCUGGAAGUGAGGCGCGCAGAGAUGGGACGUACAACACCAAGUCUGGAGAGGGCGCCUCCAGAUAUUGCUCCAAACGUUUCUGCAAGGCUGGUGACGUCCCAAGACACUGAGACUUUAGAUGCCCCUGCCCAAUAUUUGGUAGUGCUCACAAAACAUGUCGAUGGAGAAAAAAGUAUGACUGCAACACGGGGCAGCAAGAGGUAACAGGGAAGACCUGCGCGCACUAGGCUUACGCCCCGCUUCCUUUGAGGCCCUUGGAGGACGCUGGAAAAGCAUAUCUUCUCAUGCAGCAAAGUUCCUGUCUACCAACAUGAGUUGCAGUCUAAAGCCACAGUGAAUUUUGUGACAGUAACAUUAACAAUCCAAUGGAAUAGAAACAUUCUAGUCUUCCUAUAAACGUACUGAACAUGGAGAACAGAAAUGAUUCUAGGCAUGACUUUGGUUUUUUUAAUUCUUCUUGAGGGAGAUAUAAAGAGCACAGCAUCUUUGAAUUCUUGAGGCACUGUCACAAUACGCCAUGUGUUAUGGAAAAGCUGACACACAAAUAUGGGUCAUUAUUACUCUCCUUCUAAGAACUGCAAGAGAGUGAGUGAGAGAGAGAGAGAGAAGCUGCAGCAAUCCAGACCAGACGAUAUGCUAACACCAAACAGAAGAAGAAACGAUCAUAUACACACUCACUAUACACUGGACUCCUUACUCUGUACGUACCCUCUGUUCUUUGGUCCAGGUCCCUCAUGAGCUGGAAGUUUCUCUGCAGUUCAAAUGGGAGGUUUUCAA